GGGUUGUGAGGUUAAGCGACUAAGCGUACACGGUGGAUGCCCUGGCAGUCAGAGGCGAUGAAGGACGUGCUAAUCUGCGAUAAGCGCCGGUAAGGUGAUAUGAACCGUUAUAACCGGCGAUUUCCGAAUGGGGAAACCCAGUGUGAUUCGUCACACUAUCAUUAACUGAAUCCAUAGGUUAAUGAGGCGAACCGGGGGAACUGAAACAUCUAAGUACCCCGAGGAAAAGAAAUCAACCGAGAUUCCCCCAGUAGCGGCGAGCGAACGGGGAGGAGCCCAGAGUCUGAAUCAGCAUGUGUGUUAGUGGAAGCGUCUGGAAAGGCGCGCGAUACAGGGUGACAGCCCCGUACACAAAAGCGCAUGUGCUGUGAGCUCGAUGAGUAGGGCGGGACACGUGGUAUCCUGUCUGAAUAUGGGGGGACCAUCCUCCAAGGCUAAAUACUCCUGACUGACCGAUAGUGAACCAGUACCGUGAGGGAAAGGCGAAAAGAACCCCGGCGAGGGGAGUGAAAAAGAACCUGAAACCGUGUACGUACAAGCAGUGGGAGCCCCACCACUAAGCCAGUGGUGAACUCCACAUACGCAUCCUUUGCUGAGGAUGCGGUUAACGGAGCGCAAGCGACGUUCAACCGCAAAAGAAGCAGAGGGGGCUUAGUGGUGGGGUGACUGCGUACCUUUUGUAUAAUGGGUCAGCGACUUAUAUUCUGUAGCAAGGUUAACCGUAUAGGGGAGCCGUAGGGAAACCGAGUCUUAAU
rnacentral:rRNA from 1 species